rnacentral:rRNA from 1 species
AACGAACGCUGGCGGCAGGCCUAACACAUGCAAGUCGAGCGAGGUAGCAAUACCUAGCGGCGGACGGGUGAGUAACGCGUGGGAACGUACCCUUUGCUACGGAAUAGCCCCGGGAAACUGGGAGUAAUACCGUAUGUGCCCUUCGGGGGAAAGAUUUAUCGGCAAAGGAUCGGCCCGCGUUGGAUUAGGUAGUUGGUGGGGUAAUGGCCUACCAAGCCGACGAUCCAUAGCUGGUUUGAGAGGAUGAUCAGCCACACUGGGACUGAGACACGGCCCAGACUCCUACGGGAGGCAGCAGUGGGGAAUCUUAGACAAUGGGCGCAAGCCUGAUCUAGCCAUGCCGCGUGAGUGAUGAAGGCCUUAGGGUUGUAAAGCUCUUUCAGAUGGGAAGAUAAUGACGGUACCAUCAGAAGAAGCCCCGGCUAACUCCGUGCCAGCAGCCGCGGUAAAGUAGUCGUG